GCCGAGCCAUCGGCACCUGCAAGAAAGUACAAGUCGCCCACCGCGAGCAGCUCUGAGUCUUCCUUUCGAGAAGGCAGCACAGAGAAUUCCCAAGGGGGGACGACAGGGCCAAAGAAAGGCCUUUCAGGAGGCUGCCGGCAGGGAGGCGCGGUGGGAUGGAGCCGCAGCGGGCGCAGUGAUGGCCGCGACCCUGACGCCUCCGCCCUCGGUGAGCUCCCCUCGGACGAAGAACGAGCAACUGGCAAGCCCGCCCACCUGAGAAAAUCUUCCAGGGAGUCCUACAGGUUUCUAUUGUGCCGUUAUUGGCUGGAAGGCACUGCCUGCCCGGAGCCGCCCGCUUUGCUGCGCCGGCCCUUGCGCCGGGGGCGAGCCAGGGGACGGGCCAAGGCGGGCGAGGCCCUCUGCGGCCACCGUGCCCCCCAGCCUCGGCGCCGCCGGAUGCCCUUCCCGGGCGUCCCCUUUCACAGCUACACCCUCCCUGUCGGGCCAGGCCGAGGCUCACGCAGUCCUCCGGGGCCCGCCGGGGGGAACUCCCGUCUCCGCGCCCUCGACGACGGGCCUGGGCCGCUUCUCCUCGCCCGCCGGGUCGUAGUUGUUGGGGAUGUACUGCGUGGUCGGGGCCGGGCCCAGGAGCGCCUGGUGGUCCUGCGCUUGACCGAGGUGACGCAGGCUGCCGGGCAGAACGGGGCCCCGCUCACGCGGUUCUCGCUCGAGGCCCACGCCGCCGCCCUGAGAGGGUGUCGGCGCAGCCGCUGGCUGGCGGAGAACAUGGCGGCCCCCGCGGGCAGCGCCCUCUCGUCCAACCGGAAGUGGUUUGCAGCAUCUACACAGCAAAGGGCUCUGGCUCAUCCCACCUGCAACUGAGAGGAUCUCUGCCCUGGGGUAUGAAGACAUGAAGGCAAAUGUGAAACACACAUAAAGGACUUUCUUCUUCAAUUUGUGUCCUGCUCCAUUGCUUUCUACAACAAAGGGAGAAAGAUCUGAGAAGUUUCUGGAAUUUCUUCUCUAUUUUAUUUAAUUUGCAUAGCAAUAAGCCAAUGGUUUCAAAAGUUGUAGCAGAAGGAUGGGACCAUUUUGAGUUUCUGCAUGAAUAGUUUUCCUCUGGGAAAGAUAAUUUAUAAAUAUGUAUUUAUAUUUAUAAAUAGUUUCCGUGCAUCUUAGUCCUUAAGCCCAGGACAAAUUGUAUCCUUUUAAUUUUUUCCCUUGGUCCAAUACCUAGUAAAGACUUUGAACAGACUCCUCAGUGUGCUCUUCCCUCUGAUGUACUUCUCACUAUGUUCCUGUGGUCCUAUUAUGAUAUACCCUUUAUAGUGAAUAGUAAAUAUUAUAAUGCUCUGUGUUCCCAUUCGAUAAGAAGAAGAUAGCAAAUGUGAACAGCUCAGCAUCGUGCAUCAGUCAGUGUGCCAUGUUAGGAAAACAGAAUCUCCACCAGAUAAUUCAUCAAGUUGACUUUAAUAUAGGGGAAUUAGUAACAAAAGUGUUAAAAUCGAUGAAAGAGCCAAUAGGAGGGAUUAGCAACUACAGGGAGGGAUUCCUGGAUGGCUCAGCAGUUGGGCAUCUGCUUUCGACUCAGGGUGUGAUCCUGGGGUCCUGGAAUCGAGUCCCACACCAGGCUCCCUGCAUGGAGCCUGCUUCUCCCUCUGCCAGUAUCUCUGCCUCUCUCUCUCUGUGUGUGAAUAAAUAAGUAAAACCUUAAAAAAAAAAAAAAACU
ensembl:lncRNA